CUCGCAUUAAAAAGGGCUACUCUAAAGAUCCAGUUUUUCGUGAUCCUCCUCGUGAUCUUCAUAUGACCAUGCUUAAUGGAUUUUGGAUUUUUCAACAACGUCUGUUUGUUCCAGAAUCAGUGCGACUGGACGUUUUACGCCUCUACCAUGACUCUAAACCAGCAGGUCAUCCGGGAAUCCGAAAGACACAAGAACUACUUACCCGAUCCUUUUGGU